rnacentral:rRNA from 1 species
UAAUACGGAGGAUCCUAGCGUUAUCCGGAAUUAUUGGGUUUAAAGGGUCCGUAGGCGGCUUGAUAAGUCAGCGGUGAAAGUUUUUGGCUUAACCAAAAAAUUGCCGUUGAUACUGUUUAGCUUGAAUGAUUGUGAAGUAACUAGAAUAUGUAGUGUAGCGGUGAAAUGCUUAGAUAUUACAUGGAAUACCAAUUGCGCAGGCAGGUUACUAACAAUUUAUUGACGCUGAUGGACGAAAGCGUGGGUAGCGAACGGG